rnacentral:rRNA from 1 species
UAGGGAAUCUUCGGCAAUGGACGAAAGUCUGACCGAGCAACGCCGCGUGAGUGAAGAAGGUUUUCGGAUCGUAAAACUCUGUUGGUAGAGAAGAACGUUGGUGAGAGUGGAAAGCUCAUCAAGUGACGGUAACUACCCAGAAAGGGACGGCUAACUACGUGCCAGCAGCCGCGGUAAUACGUAGGUCCCGAGCGUUGUCCGGAUUUAUUGGGCGUAAAGCGAGCGCAGGUGGUUUAUUAAGUCUGGUGUAAAAGGCAGUGGCUCAACCAUUGUAUGCAUUGGAAACUGGUAGACUUGAGUGCAGGAGAGGAGAGUGGAAUUCCAUGUGUAGCGGUGAAAUGCGUAGAUAUAUGGAGGAACACCGGUGGCGAAAGCGGCUCUCUGGCCUGUAACUGACACUGAGGCUCGAAAGCGUGGGGAGCAAACAGGAUUAGAUAGCCCUGGUAGUCCACGCGUAAACGAUGAGUGCUAGAUGUAGGGAGCUAUAAGUUCUCUGUAUCGCAGCUAACGCAAUAAGCACUCCGCCUGGGGAGUACGACCGCAAG